AAAUUUAGAGAAACCUCGAAAUUAAUAAAAAUAGGCAAUCCUGAGCCAAAUCCUAUUUUUCCAAAACAAAGGUUCAAAAAGAAAAAAAUAUAGAUGAAGAGACUCGAU
rnacentral:sRNA from 1 species